UACGUAGGGUGCGAGCGUUAAUCGGAAUUACUGGGCGUAAAGCGUGCGCAGGCGGUCUGUUAAGACCGAUGUGAAAUCCCCGGGCUUAACCUGGGAACUGCAUUGGUGACUGGCAGGCUUUGAGUGUGGCAGAGGGAGGUAGAAUUCCACGUGUAGCAGUGAAAUGCGUAGAGAUGUGGAGGAAUACCGGUGGCGAAGGCGGCAUCCUGGACCGGCAUUGACGCUGAGGAGCGAAAGCUAGGGGAGCAAACGGG
rnacentral:rRNA from 1 species